rnacentral:tRNA from 1 species
GGGGAUUUGGCUCAAUGGUAGAGCGCUUGCCUAGCAAGCACAAGGCCCUGGGUUCAGUCCCCA